rnacentral:rRNA from 1 species
GUACACUCCUGCGGGAGGCAGCAGUGGGGAAUAUCGCACAAUGGGCGCAAGCCUGAUGCAGCCAUGCCGCGUGUAUGAAGAAGGCCUUCGGGUUGUAAAGUACUUUCAGCGGGGAGGAAGGCGAUAAGGUUAAUAACCUUGUCGAUUGACGUUACCCGCAGAAGAAGCACCGGCUAACUCCGUGCCAGCAGCCGCGGUAAUACGGAGGGUGCAAGCGUUAAUCGGAAUUACUGGGCGUAAAGCGCACGCAGGCGGUCUGUCAAGUCGGAUGUGAAAUCCCCGGGCUCAACCUGGGAACUGCAUUCGAAACUGGCAGGCUAGAGUCUUGUAGAGGGGGGUAGAAUUCCAGGUGUAGCGGUGAAAUGCGUAGAGAUCUGGAGGAAUACCGGUGGCGAAGGCGGCCCCCUGGACAAAGACUGACGCUCAGGUGCGAAAGCGUGGGGAGCAAACAGGAUUAGAUACCCGUGUAGUCCCAUGA